rnacentral:rRNA from 1 species
AGUGAACGCUGGCGGUAGGCCUAACACAUGCAAGUCGAACGGCAGCACAGUAAGAGCUUGCUCUUACGGGUGGCGAGUGGCGGACGGGUGAGGAAUACAUCGGAAUCUACUUUUUCGUGGGGGAUAACGUAGGGAAACUUACGCUAAUACCGCAUACGACCUACGGGUGAAAGCAGGGGAUCUUCGGACCUUGCGCGAUUGAAUGAGCCGAUGUCGGAUUAGCUAGUUGGCGGGGUAAAGGCCCACCAAGGCGACGAUCCGUAGCUGGUCUGAGAGGACGAUCAGCCACACUGGAACUGAGACACGGUCCAGACUCCUACGGGAGGCAGCAGUGGGGAAUAUUGGACAAUGGGCGCAAGCCUGAUCCAGCCAUACCGCGUGGGUGAAGAAGGCCUUCGGGUUGUAAAGCCCUUUUGUUGGGAAAGAAAAGCAGCAGGUUGAUACCCCGCUGUUCUGACGGUACCCAAAGAAUAAGCACCGGCUAACUUCGUG